rnacentral:misc_RNA from 1 species
UCACCGUGUUCGGAUUAGGAUAGUCAUAUUCCAAAACUGGAAUAUAGUUAUCCGCCCAGCCAAACGAGAUCCAGGUUUGAAAAUCUUCCGCAAACACUGCACCGGUACUCUAGCAAAACCAACCAACACGAAAAUAGAGUCAACAAGGGACUUCUACAGCUGAAUUGAACAACCCGACGAAGGAAGAAUCGAGUGAAUUAAAUGGCAGAGAACAAGGAAUCGACGUCGAGUUCACUGAGUCAAGGACUGACUCGUCAUGACUCGGAUCCAGAUGAUAUCCCUAAGUCUCCUCCGAGUUCCCCCAAUUCCUCCACUCGCAAGGCUUGCUAUGCUGUUCUUCAGAGUUGGGUUUCGAAAAAGUUCAUGACUGGAUGUGUUGUUCUCUUUCCAGUUGCUGUUUCCUUUUUAGUGACUUGGUGGUUUAUCCAGUUUGUUGAUGGUUUCUUUAGCCCAAUAUAUGCUAAACUUGGCAUUGACAUUUUCGGCCUUGGAUUUGUUACUUCACUACUUUUUGUAUUCUUCGUUGGAAUUUUUGCAUCAUCAUGGAUGGGUGCAACUGUUUUCUGGGUUGGAGAAUGGUUUAUUAAGCGAAUGCCAUUUAUGAAGCACAUAUACUCAGCCUCCAAACAAAUUAGUGCUGCUAUUUCUCCAGACCAAAACACUACUGCUUUUAAGGAGGUUGCAAUUAUCCGUCAUCCUCGUGUUGGUGAAUAUGCAUUUGGUUUUAUCACAUCAACAGUAAUCCUU